UCGUCCUUCCCCUUCCUAGAUCGACGCCCCUUCCUCUCCCGAUCAGGAUCAACACACGACUCCCUUGCUUCUCCUUCCAACCACACCGCAUCUCCUCCAACUCCUCGCUUUUGGUGAGAAGAGGUUGUCUGUGUGCCUUGGAGUCGUCGCCGGGUCGCUAGAAGUCGUCCUCCUCCACUCUUUCUCAAUCCCAUAUCUGGUAACCUUGAUUCCUCAUCUCCUUCUUCCGAUCUGAUCCCUCCUUGUCGAUCCUCGUGUGGCCAUGACUGAUCGGAGCUCCUUGCUCGUUGAUUUUGUUGCUCGGUCGACAUGGUGAGGGGGAAGAUGCAGAUGAGGAGGAUAGAGAACCUGAGCAGUUGGCAGGUGACCUUUUCCAAGCACCGGAGAGGCCUUCUGAAGAAGGCCUUUGAGCUCUCUGUGCCCUGCGAUGCUGAGAUCAGCCUCAUCGUCUUUUCAUCCCGUGGGAAGCUCUACGAAUUCGCCAGCUCCAGGCAAGAGCAGGUGUAAUUUUUUUACCUGUACAACCCAAGAGAGCUAAAGGAUGCGUGCAGUCACGUCACGCCACUGGCAAACUGCUGAAGGAGGCAGAUAAAGAAAUUGGUCAUCAGAAAACGAUUACCUCCCUAUCAAAAUCUACAGAUGGCUCUCAUUUUCUAACAGGUUCUUCAGAUAAGUUUGCCAAGAUGUCGGGAAAAGCAGAGGAAGGAAUCCUUUUGGCUCCUAACAGUUAAUCGCAAGCUUAGUGCUAUGAAUAAACUGUUAAUGGAAGAAAAUGAUCGGCUGCAAAAGCAGGUGUCUGAACUUGUUUAUCAGAAUGGCCAUAUGCGCCAGCAAGUGCAAAAUGCAUCUAUGACAACAAGAAACACCAGUUGUGAGUCUGUGAUUACAAGCGGUCAGUUUUACCAUCAGCAAAACUUAACGGCUCAGCCUCCUCAAAGAGAUGCUAAUAACCCAACCAGGUAACAAGUGUGGUAAAGGAUUCUACUUGGGUGAGGAAUGAUUUACAAAGAAUCACUAAUCAGUUGUCACCCUCAGGACAUCAAACAAGCAGAGGUGCCCAUCCAGUAAUAGAUAAAGAGAAUUGUCUAUUAACAAAUAAAACUACUGGGGAAGAUUUAGUUAAAUCUCUGCACAGAGCAAGAAGGAUAACGUUGGCACCAGUAAGAAGAAUAUUUGUGUACUAUCUAUUAC